rnacentral:rRNA from 1 species
ACGAAGGGUGCAAGCGUUAAUCGGAAUUACUGGGCGUAAAGCGUGCGCAGGCGGCUUCCUAAGUCAGAUGUGAAAUCCCCGGGCUCAACCUGGGAACUGCGUUUGAAACUGGGAGGCUAGAGUGCGGCAGAGGGGGGUGGAAUUCCUGGUGUAGCGGUGAAAUGCGCAGAUAUCAGGAGGAACACCGAUGGCGAAGGCAGGUCUCUGGGCAUUAACUGACGCUGAGGAGCGAAAGCAUGGGGAGCGAACAGGA